GUUUGAGAUUUUUGCGCAACUUUCAAACGAGCCAUUUGCUCUCUGCCGCUGGACUGGUGGUUGCGGCCGCCGGGACAGUGUACCUCGCUCGCCGAUUCUGGAGAACGGCGGAGCUGGAGGAAGACCAACAGCAUCUGCUGGCAUUAGAGGACUCUGAUGCCAGUGCAGACCUGGAUCUCACCCUGGAUGAGAUUGUUAAUGAAGACAACGGACAGGUCAUGACCUGGGAUUUCAGCCCGUUGUUCUGUGGACCCUUUGCUGCAGUGAGA